AUUGAACGCUAGCGGCAGGCCUAACACAUGCAAGUCGCACGAGUGGCGGACGGGUGAGUAAUGUAUGGGAAACUGACUGAUGGAGGGGGAUAACUACUGGAAAAGGUAGCUAAUACAGAAUACCAUCGGAUGUGCCCAGAUGGGAUUAGAUAGUAGGUGGGGUAAAGGCUCACCUAGGCGACGAUCCCGUGCUGGGAUGAGAGGAUGACCAGCCACACUGGAAAGUAGACACGUCCCAGACUCCUACGGGAGGCAGCAGUGGGGAAUAUUGCACAAUGUGCGCAAGCCUGAUGCAGCCAUGCCGAGUGUAUGAAGAAGGCCUUCGGGUUGUAAAGUACUUUCAGCGGGGAGGCGUUACCCGCAGAAGAAGCACCGGCUAACUCCGUGCCAGCAGCCGCGGUAAUAC
rnacentral:rRNA from 1 species